rnacentral:ncRNA from 1 species
UGAUAGAGGCGCGGUCGCCAUCAGUAGCUUUGCAAAAACGCCGGGAAGCGUUAAGCGAAAGGGGCUGCCGCCGAAGGGUUCGACCUUUUCCCGAGGGUCGGGUGCCUGGGAUGCAGGAUAAUAUCCUGUAGACUGUCGCAUUUUGCGGAGAGCUGUC